rnacentral:rRNA from 1 species
GGAGGAAAAGAAACUAACAAGGAUUCCCCUAGUAGCGGCGAGCGAAGCGGGAAGAGCUCAAAUUUAUAAUCUGGCACCUUCGGUGUCCGAGUUGUAAUCUCUAGAAAUGUUUUCCGCGUUGGACCGCACACAAGUCUGUUGGAAUACAGCGGCAUAGUGGUGAGACCCCCGUAUAUGGUGCGGACGCCCAGCGCUUUGUGAUACAUUUUCGAAGAGUCGAGUUGUUUGGGAAUGCAGCUCAAAUUGGGUGGUAAAUUCCAUCUAAAGCUAAAUAUUGGCGAGAGACCGAUAGCGAACAAGUACCGUGAGGGAAAGAUGAAAAGCACUUUGGAAAGAGAGUUAACAGUACGUGAAAUUGUUGGAAGGGAAACGCUUGAAGUCAGACUUGCUUGCUGAGCAAUCGGUUUGCAGGCCAGCAUCAGUUUUCCGGGAUGGAUAAUGGUAGAGAGAAGGUAGCAGUUUCGGCUGUGUUAUAGCUCUCUGCUGGAUAC